AUUCUAUUCUGAUUCUCGUAUUAACCUCUCUUAAUUGGAUAUACAUCUGUCUGUAUUGAUUCUACGGCUUGACAAGGGUUCAGAAUUCUAUUGACACGAUGGGGUUAACUCAAUCGCCAAAUAGGGGAUUAACAGUAUUCAACCUUGGCUGCUUCGCACUGGGGAUUACUUUCAUGACAGUUGGUAUUCAUUAUUCCUACAAAAAUGUUGCCCCUCAACAGGCUAGAGCCAAAGCUCGGAGUGAACUCCUCAGAGCACAUCUUAUGAAGAGAUUCGGCGAGGAUGUAAUCCCUGCAGUUUUUCGUAAUCCACCUCACUCAGUAUCGGAUUCCUCUGGUUCCGUCUCUGAUUCACAACCCAGUAGUGAUUGUUGAAGCCGGUUUGGAUACUGAUUCCAUUCAUUACAAGGGGGGAUGAAUAGGUGUCCAUUUGGCUGUUUAGGGAGUUUUUAUCCCUUUUGGAAUGAGAAGCCAGUAAUCAAGUCCGAGACGUGGAGAGGGUAAAUUGGGACUGAGAAAGCUGUGAUGAAAGCAAAGAGGGUGUUGAUAUAAUUUCUGAGGAUUUCUUAUUUACAUGGACAAUAUUCUAGACUUGGUGCUCAUUUGGCCAUCAUUCAAGACUUGGUGCUCAUUCGAAGAAUUGAUGUUGCUGCUGAACCUGGUCAGUCUGAUGAAAUUCUUACUCAUUUACUUUAGCAAAUUUAGUGUGAAAAAAUACAAGUCCUGGAAUUGAUAAAAGUUGUGAUGUAUUAACAUAUAGGAAUCUUGCUCUCCUUGAGAUUUCAAUUACUACAGACAACCUAUUAAUUUUACUGGUGGUAGGAGUGCAGGCAACUUUCAUUCUGAUAGAGGUUCAGGCGUUUUACCAUCUGCUUCCUUUCCA